AGUACCCCGGUCUGAAGGCCCUGAACACUGUAGAUCACCCAGAACUCCCCGCAGUCGUUCGAGUUGAGCUGUGGUUUGGACUUGAGCAGUAUCAGAGUAACUGGACUGCACGGGAGCACAGCGAAGGUGAUUUUGGCGUCUUAGCAGAAACGUAUGAAAACGAAGUCAAAAUUGGUUUUUGGACAAAGAAAGCCCUUACGAGACCAGGAUUUUCGAAUGCCAGUGGGGAGCUACCACUACCUAAAGAAAAGUUUCAGGCCCCUGAAGGUUGGGAAUUUGAGGGAGACUGGUACAUAGCUCCGGAAAUGAGGUCAGAUUUGUUACCGACUUACCCACAUUUCGCGCUGCUUUACCGAUGUCCUAACAUAUUUCUAAAUUUUUAGCCUGAAACAUAGAAAUAGCACAUUUUCCGAUUAUUUUGAAGAAUAUUUGAUCGAAAUGUUUAAUCAAAUAUUCUUCAUAUAGCAACUGUUUAGCUCCUUGUUGAUUUCUUUCUGAAUUGUUAAUUGCAAUGGGUGUAAAAUUUGCCACUCAUUACAUUAACUAUACUCUCUCUUUACUGGAACUGCUUGUGGAUUACCCUUAAAUUCAAAGAAGUGGGUACGAGAAGAGGUUUAAGGGAAGCUCCCCUCUGCUGAAAAUUCAUGCCGCCAACUGCCCCUGCCCCCUCCCUGAUGUCAGUUUGUUGACAUCUCUCGUUCACGGCCAUUUAUGUACCCAUCUUAUUUGCUAUCUUGGAAAGUGGUUUUUACCAAAAGGUGAAUACCACUUUUUACACGGUCUGAUUGGUUUGCUCGGAAGUGAUCAGUAAGUACUAAUCACCUUCGAGAGGCCAACAAGAAAA